GGAGGGAUGGCCGAGUGGUUUAAGGCGACGGUCUUGAAAACCGUUGAGCCGCAAGGUUCCGUGGGUUCGAAUCCUACUCCCUCCGCCA
rnacentral:tRNA from 1 species